ACGCAACGUUUUCUAAUCCACUGUUUAUCAUCUAAAAACUGAAUAAGGACAAAAACGUGGAAACGUAACGCUAUUAUCUCGGUACACGUUCUCCUUCUACAUUUUUAUUCUUGGCACGUUGAUAUUAAUCCUCGACUCGUACACUCCGCAAAUACAAGAAGUACAUUUCGGUUAUGAAGAAGCUUUCUUACUCUGCCAUUUCCGUCAGAUACAUCUUCCGAAACAAGCAAUUGAGAUUGCUCGUCUUGAUAGCCAUAACAACGAGCGAUAUUUGUUUCGGGAAUACCUAACUUACAAAUCAAAGAAAUACGCGAUUCAUUUUUUGUUUCGCGAUACCGAUAAAUCCAGCUAUCGAACCAGGAAGAUAUAAAAGAACACUAAUUACGGCAUUCCGUCAUACUUCCCGGAAGAAUGUGCAAAUGUAUGUAAAUCAUAGUCAGAGACGAAUACUUGGAGACAAUAAGACGGGAAAAGAUUCGUGAACGAUUGCAGGGUAAAAUGAAAAUUCUAAAAACGCGAAGCAAGAUUGAUAGAAUGAGGAAGCAAAUUCUUGGAAACAAAAAUUGUCACUCACCCAUGCGGGAACAUCAAUAAUUUGUCGAAAUUAAAUUGUAUGAAAAAUAUUUGUACUUAAUACGAUAAGAAUCGAAAUAAAUAUAGCCACGCUUUGAUGCCGUAGAGUAAUAGUGUUUCCCACCGCUGAACUAGAUAAGCAAUAAUUUUAGCGGAUGCCAAAAAUACGUAUCCUCCGGUACUCGUAUUGUUUUC
rnacentral:misc_RNA from 1 species